GUAGGGGGCAAGCGUUGUCCGGAAUCAUUGGGCGUAAAGCGCGUGUAGGCGGUUCGGUAAGUCGGCUGUGAAAGUCCAGGGCUCAACCCUGGGAUGCCGGUCGAUACUGCCGGACUAGAGUUCGGAAGAGGCGAGUGGAAUUCCCGGUGUAGCGGUGAAAUGCGCAGAUAUCGGGAGGAACACCAAUGGCGAAGGCAGCUCGCUGGGACGUUACUGACGCUGAGACGCGAAAGCGUGGGGAGCAAACAGG
rnacentral:rRNA from 1 species